CUCCUUCUGAAAAAGCUCUCGUUGGGUCUGUGCUUGUGGCUCAGUGAGAUGUCGUGGAAGGAGACAGCAAAGAUACCGCUCUUGGGUGAAGCGGCAGCGCGUGCUGUUCGCUUCAGUCGGUGGUUUGACAAGG